rnacentral:rRNA from 1 species
AUUGAACGCUGGCGGCAGGCCUAACACAUGCAAGUCGAGCGGUAGCACAGAGAGCUUGCUCUCGGGUGACGAGCGGCGGACGGGUGAGUAAUGUCUGGGAAACUGCCUGAUGGAGGGGGAUAACUACUGGAAACGGUAGCUAAUACCGCAUAACGUCGCAAGACCAAAGUGGGGGACCUUCGGGCCUCAUGCCAUCAGAUGUGCCCAGAUGGGAUUAGCUAGUAGGUGGGGUAAUGGCUCACCUAGGCGACGAUCCCUAGCUGGUCUGAGAGGAUGACCAGCCACACUGGAACUGAGACACGGUCCAGACUCCUACGGGAGGCAGCAGUGGGGAAUAUUGCACAAUGGGCGCAAGCCUGAUGCAGCCAUGCCGCGUGUGUGAAGAAGGCCUUCGGGUUGUAAAGCACUUUCAGCGGGGAGGAAGGCGUUAAGGUUAAUAACCUUGUCGAUUGACGUUACCCGCAGAAGAAGCACCGGCUAACUCCGUGCCAGCAGCCGCGGUAAUACGGAGGGUGCAAGCGUUAAUCGGAAUUACUGGGCGUAAAGCGCACGCAGGCGGUCUGUCAAGUCGGAUGUGAAAUCCCCGGGCUCAACCUGGGAACUGCAUUCGAAACUGGCAGGCUAGAGUCUUGUAGAGGGGGGUAGAAUUCCAGGUGUAGCGGUGAAAUGCGUAGAGAUCUGGAGGAAUACCGGUGGCGAAGGCGGCCCCCUGGACAAAGACUGACGCUCAGGUGCGAAAGCGUGGGGAGCAAACAGGAUUAGAUACCCUGGUAGUCCACGCCGUAAACGAUGUCGAUUUGGAGGUUGUGCCCUUGAGGCGUGGCUUCCGGAGCUAACGCGUUAAAUCGACCGCCUGGGGAGUACGGCCGCAAGGUUAAAACUCAAAUGAAUUGACGGGGGCCCGCACAAGCGGUGGAGCAUGUGGUUUAAUUCGAUGCAACGCGAAGAACCUUACCUGGUCUUGACAUCCACAGAACUUUCCAGAGAUGGAUUGGUGCCUUCGGGAACUGUGAGACAGGUGCUGCAUGGCUGUCGUCAGCUCGUGUUGUGAAAUGUUGGGUUAAGUCCCGCAACGAGCGCAACCCUUAUCCUUUGUUGCCAGCGGUUAGGCCGGGAACUCAAAGGAGACUGCCAGUGAUAAACUGGAGGAAGGUGGGGAUGACGUCAAGUCAUCAUGGCCCUUACGACCAGGGCUACACACGUGCUACAAUGGCAUAUACAAAGAGAAGCGACCUCGCGAGAGCAAGCGGACCUCAUAAAGUAUGUCGUAGUCCGGAUUGGAGUCUGCAACUCGACUCCAUGAAGUCGGAAUCGCUAGUAAUCGUAGAUCAGAAUGCUACGGUGAAUACGUUCCCGGGCCUUGUACACACCGCCCGUCACACCAUGGGAGUGGGUUGCAAAAGAAGUAGGUAGCUUAACCUUCGGGAGGGCGCUUACCACUUUGUGAUUCAUGACUGGGGUGA